CUUGUAGGCUUCACAUUAGCCUCUCUUUCUUGGGUAUUGGCUGUUUGUGACCUUGUCAAAUAAUGGCUGGGUGAAUCUGGUUUCUAUUUCUCCUCAGGCUUCCUCAUGUGCAUGCAGGCUGCCAGGUGCUGGGGCUGCACAAGCAUGUCACAAAGGCGGGGAGCUCCAGGAUGGGCUGAUGGCGAGUGGACAGGAUGAACACCAGGGAAAGAAUAUUGACUGGACCCAGAAGGGAAUAGGGAGGUCUGGCAUUCCAUCCCCUCCUUCCUUGGCUGUCAGCAAGAGUGGGAAGAAGCCGAUCCUACAGCUUCACUGAGGAAAGAGAGAGGUGACUGCUAAUGAAAAGAGGAGCUAAAAGAAGAGGUGCUGUGGCCCCCCUCUUCAGAAAGUGGAGACAGAGAAGCGGGCGGGGCUCUGGGUGGUGCUAAGUGGCACAUGUGACUGAGAGAAGGAAUCUGAGGUGCAGAACAAGAAAUAACCCCAAGAGACUAUAUUCCUCUUUAAAAGCAGCUCAUCUCAGGCCAAGGAUUUAGCUCAGUGGCACUGUGCCUGCCUCACAAGUGCAAGGUCCUGAGUUCAAUCCCUGGCACCAAAAAAAAAAGC
rnacentral:lncRNA from 1 species